GAUCCAGCCAAGUGAGGAGGUGGAUGAAAGAGGUGGCCAGAUAGACGAAACUGCAGACCUGAUGGUUUGAGGCAUGAAACGAGCCUGCCUAACAGUGGAAAGAAACCAGUUUUGUGGCUAAAAUUCAGUGAAACAAUGGAGACUGGAAUGAAAGGGAUGAAGGUAAAAGUUGGAGGAGACCACUGAAAGGUUUGAAGCAUGGGAAUAACCCAGUAAUGUUGUGCUUUUAAAAGACUACUUAAGUCUUUGCUCAGAUAAAGACUAGACUUGGACAAGAUUAGAAGUGAGAAAAACGUUAAGGAAGCCAGGAGAUAGUUAUGAAUGCGUCUUUGCUUCUCUCCUCACCAUGAUAACUGAGUUGGAAAACCUGGCAAUAAGUGGCAAAAGUGGUGGUCAUCUUUGUCUAUCUCCUGAGAUUGUGGAUUCAAGAGAUAACCACUGAAAUAUAUGAGUUGAACUUCUCACAAUAAAGAGCAAACAGACUAUACUGAGAUGAUUCGGUGAAUUGCUCUCAUGUGUGGAAUUGUGAAGCCACAGCGGCUUUUUAAAAUACUGAAAUAUUCAGACUACUUACAGGUGCAUAAAUCACACAGCUUAUUACUUGGAGAGCCCUUUCAUGUCUUUCAUCAACUCUGAGUUUGAAAACUCUGAAAAUGAAUCAGAUUGGCAGGCCUACUUCUGAAGAUUCUAAAAAGAUUCUCCCUUAAGGAGGAUAAGUUGAAAAGA
rnacentral:lncRNA from 1 species